GUCACAAUGGCUGAGAGGUUAAGGUGUUGGGCUCGAAACCCAAUGGGGUUUCCCUUCACAGGUUAGAAUCCUGUUCGUGACG